GACACACCUCUGGUGGACCUGUUGUUGCGCCAGCAGCAUUGCAGGGUAGCUAUGUGUGGACAGGAUAACCGCUGAAAGCAUCUAAGCGGGAAACCCCCCUCAAGAUAAGUUCUCCCUUAAGAGCCGUGGAAGACCACCACGUUGAUAGGCUGGAUGUGGAAGUGCAGUAAUGUAUGAAGCUGACCAGUACUAAUUACUCAAUCGACUUGAAAUC
rnacentral:rRNA from 1 species